GACGAACGCUGGCGGCGUGCUUAACACAUGCAAGUCGAACGGAAAGGCCCUGCUUUUGUGGGGUGCUCGAGUGGCGAACGGGGGAGUAACACGUGAGUAACCUGCCCUUGACUUUGGGAUAACUUCAGGAAACUGGGGCUAAUACCGGAUAGGAGCUCCUGCUGCAUGGUGGGGGUUGGAAAGUUUCGGCGGUUGGGGAUGGACUCGCGGCUUAUCAGCUUGUUGGUGGGGUAGUGGCUUACCAAGGCUUUGACGGGUAGCCGGCCUGAGAGGGUGACCGGCCACAUUGGGACUGAGAUACGGCCCAGACUCCUACGGUAGGCAGCAGUGGGGAAUAUUGCACAAUGGGCGGAAGCCUGAUGCAGCAACGCCGCGUGCGGGAUGACGGCCUUCGGGUUGUAAACCGCUUUCGCCUGUGACGAAGCGUGAGUGACGGUAAUGGGUAAAGAAGCACCGGCUAACUACGUG
rnacentral:rRNA from 1 species